rnacentral:rRNA from 1 species
CCUACGGGAGGCAGCAGUGAGGAAUAUUGGACAAUGGGCGCAAGCCUGAUCCAGCCAUGCCGCGUGCAGGAAGAAGCAUCUAUGGUGUGUAAACUGCUUUUGUACAGGAAGAAACACUCCCUCGUGAGGGAGCUUGACGGUACUGUAAGAAUAAGGACCGGCUAACUCCGUGCCAGCAGCCGCGGUAAUACGGAGGGUCCGAGCGUUAUCCGGAAUCAUUGGGUUUAAAGGGUCCGUAGGCGGUUUAAUAAGUCAGUGGUGAAAUCUGGUCGCUCAACGAUCAAACGGCCAUUGAUACUGUUAGACUUGAAUUAUAAGGAAGUAACUAGAAUAUGUAGUGUAGCGGUGAAAUGCUUAGAUAUUACAUGGAAUACCAAUUGCGAAGGCAGGUUACUACUUAUGGAUUGACGCUGAUGGACGAAAGCGUGGGGAGCGAACAGGAUUAGAUACCCUGGUAGUCCACGCCGUAAACGAUGGAUACUAGCUGUUCGGAGCAAUCUGAGUGGCUAAGCGAAAGUGAUAAGUAUCCCACCUGGGGAGUACGUUCGCAAGAAUGAAACUUAAAGGAAUUGACGGCUGAGACCGNGCGAGACGACGACGAGGGAGGAGG